rnacentral:rRNA from 1 species
UACGUAGGGUGCAAGCGUUGUCCGGAAUUAUUGGGCGUAAAGAGCUCGUAGGCGGUCUGUCGCGUCGGAUGUGAAAAUCCAGGGCUCAACCCUGGACCUGCAUUCGAUACGGGCAGACUAGAGUUCGGUAGGGGAGACUGGAAUUCCUGGUGUAGCGGUGAAAUGCGUAGAUAUCUGGAGGAAUACCGGUGGCGAAGGCGGCAUCCUGGGCUAAUACUGACACUGAGGUGCGAAAGCGUGGGGAGCAAACAGG